rnacentral:rRNA from 1 species
GAGAGUUAAACAGUACGUGAAAUUGUUGAAAGGGAAACGAUUGAAGUCAGUCAUACCAACGGGAAAUCAACCUCUUGAGUUUGGUCUCGUGGGUUUCGAAGAGUUUAAAAGCCUUCGGAUUUUCGAGAUUGGGCUCUUCUGGUGUACUUUCUCGUACGGUUAGUCAACAUCGGUUUUGAAUGUCAUAAAAUGACUGGAGGAAUGUGGCUUCGAUCUCGUAUUGAAGUGUUAUAACCUUUGGUAGAUGUGAUGUUUGAGACCGAGGAUUGCAACGGAUACCCUUCUGGGCUAUUCGUCUGAUCUCUGAUUGUUGCUUUGGUGCUGAAAGCUUGCUUAUGGUUAUCAAAGUCGAUGGUCAAUAGGUUAGAAUGGGUUAAAUUCGUUAAGGAUGUUGACGUAAUGGCUUUAAACGA